rnacentral:rRNA from 1 species
AAGGUGUGUCGUGAGGCAUGCUGGAGGUAUCAGAAGUGCGAAUGCUGACAUAAGUAACGAUAAAGCGGGUGAAAAGCCCGCUCGCCGGAAGACCAAGGGUUCCUGUCCAACGUUAAUCGGGGCAGGGUGAGUCGACCCCUAAGGCGAGGCCGAAAGGCGUAGUCGAUGGGAAACGGGUUAAUAUUCCCGUACUUGGUGUUACUGCGAAGGGGGGACGGAGAAGGCUAUGUUGGCCGGGCGACGGUUGUCCCGGUUUAAGCGUGUAGGUGUGUGUUCCAGGUAAAUCCGGUUCACUUUAACACUGAGGCGUGAUGACGAGGCACUACGGUGCUGAAGCAACAAAUGCCCUGCUUCCAGGAAAAGCCUCUAAGCAUCAGGUAACAUCAAAUCGUACCCCAAACCGACACAGGUGGUCAGGUAGAGAAUACCAAGGCGCUUGAGAGAACUCGGGUGAAGGAACUAGGCAAAAUGGUGCCGUAACUUCGGGAGAAGGCACGCUGACACGUAGGUGAAGUGAUUUACUCACGGAGCUGAAGUCAGUCGAAGAUACCAGCUGGCUGCAACUGUUUAUUAAAAACACAGCACUGUGCAAACACGAAAGUGGACGUAUACGGUGUGACGCCUGCCCGGUGCCGGAAGGUUAAUUGAUGGGGUCAGCGCAAGCGAAGCUCCUGAUCGAAGCCCCGGUAAACGGCGGCCGUAACUAUAACGGUCCUAAGGUAGCGAAAUUCCUUGUCGGGUAAGUUCCGACCUGCACGAAUGGCGUAAUGAUGGCCAGGCUGUCUCCACCCGAGACUCAGUGAAAUUGAACUCGCUGUGAAGAUGCAGUGUACCCGCGGCAAGACGGAAAGACCCCGUGAACCUUUACUAUAGCUUGACACUGAACAUUGAGCCUUGAUGUGUAGGAUAGGUGGGAGGCUUUGAAGUGUGGACGCCAGUCUGCAUGGAGCCGACCUUGAAAUACCACCCUUUAAUGUUUGAUGUUCUAACGUGGACCCGUGAUCCGGGUUGCGGACAGUGUCUGGUGGGUAGUUUGACUGGGGCGGUCUCCUCCUAAAGAGUAACGGAGGAGCACGAAGGUUGGCUAAUCCUGGUCGGACAUCAGGAGGUUAGUGCAAUGGCAUAAGCCAGCUUGACUGCGAGCGUGACGGCGCGAGCAGGUGCGAAAGCAGGUCAUAGUGAUCCGGUGGUUCUGAAUGGAAGGGCCAUCGCUCAACGGAUAAAAGGUACUCCGGGGAUAACAGGCUGAUACCGCCCAAGAGUUCAUAUCGACGGCGGUGUUUGGCACCUCGAUGUCGGCUCAUCACAUCCUGGGGCUGAAGUAGGUCCCAAGGGUAUGGCUGUUCGCCAUUUAAAGUGGUACGCGAGCUGGGUUUAGAACGUCGUGAGACAGUUCGGUCCCUAUCUGCCGUGGGCGCUGGAGAACUGAGGGGGGCUGCUCCUAGUACGAGAGGACCGGAGUGGACGCAUCACUGGUGUUCGGGUUGUCAUGCCAAUGGCACUGCCCGGUAGCUAAAUGCGGAAGAGAUAAGUGCUGAAAGCAUCUAAGCACGAAACUUGCCCCGAGAUGAGUUCU